rnacentral:rRNA from 1 species
GGCCAAGCAAGAGUGGCAUACGGUGGAUGCCUUGGCACCAGGCGCCGAUGAAGGACGUGGGAGGCCGCGAUAGUCCACGGGGAGUUGUCAACCGAGCGGUGAUCCGUGGGUGUCCGAAUGGGGGAACCCAGCCCGAGUUGUGUCGGGUUGCCGCCGUCUGAAUGUAUAGGGCGGUUGGUGGUGACGCGGGGAAGUGAAACAUCUCAGUACCCGCAGGAAGAGAAAACAUGCCUUGGCACCAGGCGCCGAUGAAGGACGUGGGAGGCCGCGAUAGUCCACGGGGAGUUGUCAACCGAGCGGUGAUCCGUGGGUGUCCGAAUGGGGGAACCCAGCCCGAGUUGUGUCGGGUUGCCGCCGUCUGAAUGUAUAGGGCGGUUGGUGGUGACGCGGGGAAGUGAAACAUCUCAGUACCCGCAGGAAGAGAAAACAAGAGUGAUUCCCUGAGUAGUGGUGAGCGAAAGGGGAUGGUGGCUAAACCGCGUGCGUGUGAGAGGCGGCAGCCGUUGCGUGCGUGGGGUUGUGGGGUUCGCCUGUACUGGGUCUGCCGGCCUGGUGUGGGGUGUGGUGUGUUAGUCGAAGCCGUUGGGAAGCGGUGCCGGAGUGGGUGAGAGUCCCGUAGGCGAAGGCACGGCAUACUUCAUUGGGCGUGUCCCCGAGUAGCGCGGAGCUCGUGGAAUUCCGUGUGAAUCCGGCAGGACCACCUGUCAAGCCUGAAUACGUCCUGGUGACCGAUAGUGGACGAGUACCGUGAGGGAAAGGUGAAAAGUGCCCCGGUGAGGGGUUGUGAAAGAGUACCUGAAACCGUGUGCUGUCAAGCCGUCAGAGCUUCGCUUUGGUGCGGGGUGAUGGCGUGCCUUUUGAAGAAUGAGCCUGCGAGUCGUGGUGUGUGGCGAGGUUAACCCGGGUGGGGUAGCCGUAGCGAAAGCGAGUCUGAACAGGGCGGUUGAGUCGCAUGCUGUGGACCCGAAGCGGGGUGAUCUACCCAUGGCCAGGGUGAAGCGGAGGUAAGACUUCGUGGAGGCCCGAACCCACCAGGGUUGAAAACCUGGGGGAUGAGCUGUGGGUAGGGGUGAAAGGCCAAUCAAACUCCGUGAUAGCUGGUUCUCCCCGAAAUGCAUUUAGGUGCAGCGUCGUGUGGUGCUCCCCGGAGGUAGAGCUACUGUUUGGCUGAUGGGCCCGACAAGGUUACUGAGGUCAGAUAAACUCCGAAUGCCGGUGGAGCCGAGUGCGGCAGUGAGACUGCGGGGGAUAAGCUUCGUGGUCGAGAGGGAAACAGCCCAGAUCAUCAGCUAAGGCCCCUAAGGGUGUGCUAAGUGGGAAAGGUUGUGGAGUUGCUGAGACAACCAGGAGGUUGGCUUAGAAGCAGCCAUCCUUGAAAGAGUGCGUAAUAGCUCACUGGUCAAGUGAUUCUGCGCCGAUAAUGUAGCGGGGCUGAAGUGCACCGCCGAAGCUGUGGGGCCGGCACGUUGUGUGUCGGUUGGUAGGGGAGCGUCGUGCAUCCGGUGAAGCUGCGGGGUGACCUUGUGGUGGAGGGUGUGCGAGUGAGAAUGCAGGCAUGAGUAGCGAUACCGGAGUGGGAAACUCCGGCGCCGAUUGACUAAGGGUUCCUGGGGCAGGUUGAUCCGCCCAGGGUGAGUCUGGACCUAAGGCGAGGCCGACAGGCGUAGUCGAUGGGCAACGGGUUGAUAUUCCCGUACCCGUGCGCGUGCGCCCAUGCUGAUAGCCCUGAUGCUGACCAUGCCGGGUGCUUGUGCCGCUUUCGGGCGGUGCGGGUGGCCUGGUCUGGGACCCGAGGGGUGUGUAGGCAAGUGAUGGGGUGACGCAGUGGGGUAGCCCUACCCGGCGGUGGUUGUCCGGGGGUAAGCGUGUAGCCCGGGGUGGUGGUAAAUCCCUGCCCUGUUAUGUGGGUGAGGCGUGAUGCCGAGCCGUUUUCGGCGAAGUGGGUGAUCCCGUGCUGUCGAGAAAAGCCUCUAGCGAGUGCGUGUGCGGCCAGUACCCGAAACCGACGCAGGUGGUCAGGUAGAGUAUACCGAGGCGUUCGGGUGAUCCGUGGUUAAGGAACUCGGCAAAUUGUCCCCGUAACUUCGGGAGAAGGGGAGCCCUGUCCGGUGAUCAGGUUUUCCCUGUGAGCUGGGUGGGGUCGCAGAUACCAGGGGGAAGCGACUGUUUAUUAAAAACACAGGUCCGUGCGAAGUCGUAAGACGCUGUAUACGGACUGACGCCUGCCCGGUGCUGGAACGUUAAGAGGACCGGUCAGCAGGCUUUUGUGCCUGUGCCGCUGGGAAUCUAAGCGCCAGUAAACGGCGGUGGUAACUAUAACCAUCCUAAGGUAGCGAAAUUCCUUGUCGGGUAAGUUCCGACCUGCACGAAUGGCGUAACGACUUCCCCGCUGUCUCAACCGCGGGCCCGGUGAAAUUGCAGUACGAGUAAAGAUGCUCGUUUCGCGCAGCAGGACGGAAAGACCCCGGGACCUUCACUAUAGCUUGACAUUGGUGUUUGGGAUG